GAUGAACGCUGGCGGCGUGCCUAAUACAUGCAAGUCGAGCGAACAGACGAGGAGCUUGCUCCUCUGACGUUAGCGGCGGACGGGUGAGUAACACGUGGAUAACCUACCUAUAAGACUGGGAUAACUUCGGGAAACCGGAGCUAAUACCGGAUAAUAUAUUGAACCGCAUGGUUCAAUAGUGAAAGACGGUUUUGCUGUCACUUAUAGAUGGAUCCGCGCCGCAUUAGCUAGUUGGUAAGGUAACGGCUUACCAAGGCGACGAUGCGUAGCCGACCUGAGAGGGUGGUCGGACACACGGGAAGUGAGACACGGUCCAGACUCCUACGGGAGGCAGCAGUAGGGAAUCUUCCGCAAAGGGGGAAAGCCUGACGGAGCAACGCCGCGUGAGUGAUGAAGGUCUUCGGAUCGUAAAACUCUGUUAGUAGGGAAGAACAAAUGUGUAAGUAACUAUGAACGUCUUGACGGUACCUAAUCAGAAAGCCACGGCUAACUACGUG
rnacentral:rRNA from 1 species